AGUGAACGCUGGCGGUAGGCCUAACACAUGCAAGUCGAACGGCAGCACAGUAACAGCUUGCUCUUACGGGUGGCGAGUGGCGGACGGGUGAGGAAUACAUCGGAAUCUACUUUUUCGUGGGGGAUAACGUAGGGAAACUUACGCUAAUACCGCAUACGACCUACGGGUGAAAGCAGGGGAUCUUCGGACCUUGCGCGAUUGAAUGAGCCGAUGUCGGAUUAGCUAGUUGGCGGGGUAAAGGCCCACCAAGGCGACGAUCCGUAGCUGGUCUGAGAGGAUGAUCAGCCACACUGGAACUGAGACACGGUCCAGACUCCUACGGGAGGCAGCAGUGGGGAAUAUUGGACAAUGGGCGCAAGCCUGAUCCAGCCAUACCGCGUGGGUGAAGAAGGCCUUCGGGUUGUAAAGCCCCUUUGUUGGGAAAGAAAAGCAGCAGGUUAAUACCCCGCUGUUCUGACGGUACCCAAAGAAUAAGCACCGGCUAACUUCGUG
rnacentral:rRNA from 1 species